UUUCCCACAUCGACCGAUCUCUUCGAGCUCCGUCUCUCUCUUCCCAUGGCCGAUCGUCGACGUCGUCGGUCGAUCUCCCCAUCCGUAGCUCCUCUUCCCCUCUCCUCGCACCACCGGCUUCGCCUCCCUCCGACGAGCCCAUUUUUCCCGUUUCCCCCUUCUCUCCCACUCCAUAGCAGCCACCAUCAUCACUUCUUUAAGCGGUCAGAGCAAGUUCUUGCCGCCUCCGUUCUGGUUUCCUUCCUCUUCCUCUCUACCAGCCACCGACCUCCUCGAGUACGCAUCGAGCGGGAACACGAUAUGCCACCGGCGUCGCCGCAUUCCGGCCACCGGAGGGCCGGCGCCCCGCUCGCCCUCUCCUCUCUCUCCCUCUCGGUUGCCAACAGAAAAAGAGAAGAGGAAUCGGGAGGAAGAAGAAGAGAAAAAAAAAAGAAAAAGAAAAAGGACAGCUAAUGACAGUAGAGUCUAUUAUAAUUGGAUGGCAACCUUUGGUAUUUCAAGCAUUGGAUAAUCAGGUUGGCUAUCUCGGAUUUAUUGCGUUGGAGCAAGGCAAGUUAUUAUUCCUCUCCUUUGAGCAUAAAUGCCCUAUAUUCUAUAUCUUUAUUUUAUGCAUUAGUCAUUCAUGAUUUCGAAUGCAUAACCUGCCAACAUCGGCUGGUUCUCUCAUUUGCCCUUGAAGCAGACUUGAGGUCUUGGGGGCAUGAUAGCCGAUGACUGGGGGAGCUAAUCCACCUCCAUUUGGUAGAAGGCCUGGAGCAUAUUCUAUGUCCCUGCCACUGUUGCUCUUGCGAGGAGGAGAAGAUUCUGUUGUCUGCAAGGCAAAGAAAGAAGUUAGUCAAGAUUCAAGUCGGCUAACAAUUAUUCCAACAGAAUUGACAAAGUAAAAAUAUACCUGAGGGACAACAUCUGGAAAUAAAUCUAUCAUGUACAUAGAGGCCGGCUGAUGGAAUAUAUGCUGCUUCCAUUCACCCCCACCAUCUGUCAAAAUUCCUACUCCUGAACCUUGCCAGCUCUAUGUUCUCGAUACUGCCUAAAGGAGGUCCUGGGAUGUUGAGCAGCCGAUCCAUCAUCAAUGUUGAUGAGAUUUCUCCUCUGUACUGGAUCUUAUCGGCAAAGAACAAGUCGAUUGAUAGCUGUCCCAUUCCAAA